UCUGAUACGGGCUUAAGGUCUUCAGUUAACAACUCCGACUCGACCAACACGUUCGUAGCCAGUAUUGUUCCUCGAUCGAAAGAACCCAAAUAAAUCAAAGAAAAGAAGUGUUUGAUAAUACAUAAUCGAUCGAAUAAGAAAAUACACAUGGAUGUAUAAUUGUUGUAAUAAUUGUGUUGAGAAAUGCUCAAAGGACAAACACCGCAAUAGAGUACAGGUGAAACAUAAAUACUCGGCCAAAUUAGAUAUAUCUAUCUUAGAAAUGGGACGAAAAGCGCAGUCACUUAAUAUAAACAAAAUUCCGUUUGUGCAAGGAAACUUUCUCUACGUAUUUAUACCGGCAUUUGUAGGACUUAAUAUUGGGUGGUAUUUUCUGCAACAGCGUUAUGUUCUAGAAUCUGACAGACAUGACCAUCCAGUAAUCCGUUUAUACAAGUUUAUACGGAGCUAUGCUACAAAAUAAUGCCAUGUAGAUGGUCAAAAUUUUGCUGAUGUAUGGAGGAGCUCUUCGGCCGAUUUUCACUUUGGCUAUGAACAGAAGGGCCAGCCUUGGGUAGUUGAGGUAACACCAUUUGACUGUAAUUGGUAUUCUGAAAAUAAAUGAUAAUACACAUUCAGGUUA